UACGGAGGGUGCAAGCGUUGUCCGGAAUCACUGGGCGUAAAGGGCGCGUAGGCGGCUCAUGAAGGCUGUGGUGAAAGUCCGGGGCUCAACCUCGGAUCGGCCGUGGCGACUCGUGGGCUGGAGCACUGUAGAGGCGGGUGGAAUUCCGGGUGUAGCGGUGGAAUGCGUAGAGAUCCGGAAGAACACCAGUGGCGAAGGCGGCCCGCUGGGCUGUUGCUGACGCUGAGGCGCGACAGCGUGGGGAGCAAACAGG
rnacentral:rRNA from 1 species